CCUGACAGGAACAAAUGUGGCUACCUCUGUGGGGGGUAUAAAGUCUCCAUUCUCCCUCCCUCUGCACUGCUAAGGACAGGAUCAUUUGGGAGGUCUCCUCACCUAGGCGAAGCUGUGCUGAGCCAUCUGGAGC